rnacentral:rRNA from 1 species
UACGGAGGAUGCAAGCGUUAUCCGGAAUGAUUGGGCGUAAAGCGUCCGCAGGUGGCUAUGUAAGUCUGCUGUUAAAGAGUGAGGCUCAACCUCAUAAAAGCAGUGGAAACUACAUGGCUAGAGUGCGUUCGGGGCAGAGGGAAUUCCUGGUGUAGCGGUGAAAUGCGUAGAGAUCAGGAAGAACACCGGUGGCGAAAGCGCUCUGCUAGGCCGCAACUGACACUGAGGGACGAGAGCCAGGGGAGCGAAUGGG